AUUGAACGCUGGCGGCAUGCUUUACACAUGCAAGUCGAACGGCAGCGCGGGCUUCGGCCUGGCGGCGAGUGGCGAACGGGUGAGUAAUACAUCGGAACGUGCCCAGUAGUGGGGGAUAGCUCGGCGAAAGCCGGACUAAUACCGCAUACGACCUGAGGGUGAAAGCGGGGGAUCUUCGGACCUCGCGCUAUUGGAGCGGCCGAUGGCAGAUUAGCUAGUUGGUGGGGUAAAGGCCUACCAAGGCGACGAUCUGUAGCUGGUCUGAGAGGACGACCAGCCACACUGGGACUGAGACACGGCCCAGACUCCUACGGGAGGCAGCAGUGGGGAAUUUUGGACAAUGGGCGGAAGCCUGGUCCAGCAAUGCCGCGUGUGUGAUGAAGGCCUUCGGGUUGUAAAGCACUUUUGGCGGGAACGAAAAGGACUGGGCCAAUACCACGGUUCGAUGACGGUACCCGCAGAAUAAGCACCGGCUAACUACGUG
rnacentral:rRNA from 1 species